CUACGGGAGGCAGCAGUGAGGAAUAUUGCACAAUGGUGGGAACCCUGAUGCAGCAACGCCGCGUGGAGGAUGACGCAUUUCGGUGUGUAAACUCCUUUUAUAUGUCAAGAAAAUGACGGUAGCAUAUGAAUAAGCACCGGCUAACUCCGUGCCAGCAGCCGCGGUAAUACGGAGGGUGCAAGCGUUACUCGGAAUCACUGGGCGUAAAGGACGCGUAGGCGGGUUGGAAAGUCAGGUGUGAAAGCCUACAGCUUAACUGUAGAACUGCACUUGAAACUUCUAAUCUAGAGUAUGGGAGGGGGAGAUGGAAUUAGUGGUGUAGGGGUAAAAUCCGUAGAUAUCACUAGGAAUACCUAAAGCGAAGGCGAUCUCCUGGAACAUUACUGACGCUAAGGCGUGAAAGCGUGGGGAGCAAACAGGAUUAGAUACCCGUGUAGUC
rnacentral:rRNA from 1 species